AUGACAGGAGAUGCUCAUCAUGAAGCCAAAGCUGAGGACAUCAUUGAGCUUACUUCCCUGCCCACUCCUGGUGAGUUGUAUGAACCAGGUUGUCAGCUCUAUCAAAAUGAACUGCAGAGCAUCUUUCAGAAGCCAAAGCCAAAUAUGAGUCAGAUGCUGAGCAUGAUGAAGCCAUUGCCCCAAGAUGAUGAAUACCCUAAAGAGUUCUUUGUCGAAGACCUCGAGUACUUGCCCCGCAUAGUAUAUCACAUUCUAAGGCGUACUCUAUGGCCAAUUAAAGGCAACUCUUCUGGAGCUAAACUCAAAGGCGCUGAAGACAUUGGUCUUCUAUAUUUUCCAUGUCAUAAGAUUCAACACAAAGGAUUUCUUCAUCCGCCAGCUGGCUGCUUCUGGAAUUGA
rnacentral:rRNA from 1 species